rnacentral:lncRNA from 1 species
CUGGAAGCGCGAAUCUGGUACCGGGACUUGGGGAGCGAGGGAUGCAACAUGGUGCAUCUGGGAGGCCUGCUAACUGGCUAACUUCUCCGGCGUUCCUCCCGGCCGAGGCGUGGGCACAGAAUAGCGCAGGUCAGUAUGUACCUCGUUUUGUAUAUUGUCUUGAAACUUUACUCCUUUGUAUGUUUGAAGACAUCAUUUUCCAGUUUUGGAGCCGACUAAUGAACUAGUUCUUAAGUGAAAGGCAUUUAACACGACUGUGCAUCUACAGGUACUAGGUUUCCAAGAUGCCUUUCCAGACUAAAACCCACACAUGUGAGCCGCUGGCCGGACAAACAUCUGGCACCUAACGUGGGGCUGAAAAACAGCAGAGGACAUUUGGAAGAAACACUGCUGGUUUGGAGCUCCAUAGAAGAAGAAAAUAAUUAAAGGAAAUUCAUACCAGAGAAGAACACCCCAGUGAUGGCUAUUCUUGGUCAUAAACUUCACUACAUAUGGAAAUACUAAAACCCAAUCCAUUGGGGUCCAAACCAAUGGAGGGAUCGUUCUUGAUUGGAUCAUUCAAGAUGGAAAGACCCACCUUAAAUCUGGAUCAUUUGACCUGGAUCAGAAGAUCCACUCUAAAUAUGGGCCACACCUUCUAGAGACAAUGUAUAUAAAAGAACAGAGAAAAAAGCCCUUGUUUUUGCCUGCUUCCCUUCACUCUGACUGACAAAUUCACCCAUUCUGCUGCUGAGGCAUUCCUUCACUGGUAUUAGAAGCCACUUCUUCAGGAUUCCAAUGUAGACUGAAGACCAGCUGAGACAUCCAGCCCCAUGGAUCAAACAAUUAUUGGAUUCUUGGACUAUCGUAUCAGACUAGACAGACUAGAGACUUUAAGCCUCUCUAAUAAAUUGUACAUACAGAGAUAGAGAUAGAUAGAUAGAUAGAUAGAUAGAUAGAUAGAUAGAUAGAUAGAGUGUGCAUUCGUGUGUGUGUGUGUGUGUGUGUGUGUGUGUGUGUGUGUUGUCAUUGCUCUUAUUACCCAGGACUUGAUGGUAAAAUGGUAAGACACUAUUGCUGAAGACACCACAUACAUAGACAUGGAGAAACAAGUUGGUUCUUGCCUAAAGUUUUCAUCCCUACUGUCUAGUUUUCAUGGUGCUAAAGAAUAAUAGAAACCAGGCUUACUCAGUUGUGGAUGCUGUAAGUUGCAUUAGCAACCAGUCUGGCAAUACAUACCCACCAAUGUAAUGAUGGCAUGAAUGUCAUGGCAGUGACCAACCAGUUUCUGUUUAGACUUAAAGCCUGCUCCAAAAGAGGGAAUCCAUAUCUGAUACUAUUACUGAGACCACUAUAAGGAACUAUCUCUAUAAGGAUAUAGUAUUUUCUAGACUCAACAAGACAGUCGCAAAUAUAAACUCACAGAUUUAUUAUGACAUGACAAAAGCCUAUAAAAUCCCAAGCUAGAUAAACUCUCAGAAUGGAGAGGGGAGGUGGGCAAAAAAUUCCAUCCCUACCUGAGGUGCUUCUGGUAGUUGAUGGUGCCUGUUAGAUUGAGUUUGUUUCAUUUAAGGAUAUGGCCCCUGGUAGGUCAAUCAUUGUCUUAAGGUUGCUAUUGUGAUAAAACACCAGGAAAAAAGCAGAUUGUGGAGGGAAGGGUUUGUUUCAGGUUAUAUGUCUCAAUCACAAUCCAUCAUGAAAGGAAGUGAGGGCAGGAGUUCAAGGCAGGAACCUGGAAGCAGGAACUGAGGCAAAGGCUAUGAAAGAACACUGUUUACUGGCUUGUUCCACAUGACUUAACCAGUAUACUUUCCUAUACCAUUCAAGAUCACCUGCCCAGGGUGAGAACUGGCUCUCUGUGGGCUAGCCACAUCACUCAAUAAAAUGCCCCAUGAGCCUGCCCACAGGCUGUUGUGUGGCAAUGGGUUGGGGAUUAUUGAUUGAUAUUCCUUCUUCAAUGACAUGUGCCAAGUUGACAUAAAAUACCCAUAGAAAGAGUUACAGAGAGAAAAUUCAGAGCUGAGAUGGAAGGAAGGACCAUCCAGAAACUGCCCCACUUGGGGAUCCAUCCCAUAAACAACCACCAAACCCAGACACUAUUGCAUAUGCCAGCAAGAUUUUGCUGACAGGAGCCUGAUAUAGCUGUCUCUUGUGAGUCUAUGCCAGUGCCUGGCAAAUACAGAAGUGAAUGCCCACAGUCAUAUAUGGAACACAAGGCCAACAAUAAAGGAGCUAGAGAAAGUACCCAAGGAGUUAAAGGGUUCUGCAACCCUAUAGGAGGAACAACAAUAUGAACUAACCAGUACCACCACCACCCCAGAGCUUGUGUCUCUAGCUGCAUACGCAGCAGAUGAUGGCUUAGUAGGACAUCAAUGGGAGGAGAGGCCCUUGGUCUUGUGAAGAUCAUAUGCCCCAGUACAGGAGAAGGCCAGGGCCAGGAAGCAGGAGUAGGUGGAUUGGGGACCAGGGUGGGGGGACAGUAUAGGGAACUUUCAGGAUAGCACUUGAAAUGUAAAUGAAAAUAUCUACUAAAAAAAAAUAGCUAGCAGAACCCCAGGCUGUAGAAUACAGUUUGGAAACAUGAUCUUCACCCCAGUGUUUCUAGACCUUGCUGUCUAUGAAGCUCUCAAAUCCCACCUGAUAGUGUCUACUCAACAAUGAAGAGCUUCAUCAUCAUCGUCAUUGUUGUUCCACCUCCAAGGCUAGAAUUUUCUUCUUCCACCAUUGAAGGUCUCAAAUACCUGCUCGACACCCUCCUCUUAUGACAUAAAGCCUUCACUGUUACUAGAAGCUGCAGCUCCUCUCCUCUGGAUCUUUAUGACCACACCAGGAAGCAUUGUGAUCUGCAGUCACUGCCAACCUGCAGGAUAACACAGCUUGUUCCUCUGGGAACUGCCCUGCAGUGUCUGCAUACAGCCACCCUCGACCUGUCUGCCUGGUCUUUGCAACCUCUAGUGGCUGUUGUUCCACAAUGUGUUGUGAAGGCAUGCAUGUAAAAUAGUCCCUAUCUGGAUGGACCUACGCCUGUGGCAGGAAGUUCACUGGUCAAUUACCUGCUGACUGAAGUGGCCUAUUUUCUUCUGACCCCCUGC